rnacentral:tRNA from 1 species
AUUCUAGUAGCUUAGCUGACAAAGCAUUGGUCUUGUAAACCAAAGAACGAAGAUUACAUUCUUCCUAGAAUA